rnacentral:rRNA from 1 species
UACGUAGGGGGCUAGCGUUGUCCGGAUUUAUUGGGCGUAAAGAGCGUGUAGGCGGCCAGAUAGGUCUGCUGUGAAAACUCGAGGCUCAACCUCGAGAUGUCGGCGGAAACCAUUUGGCUAGAGUCCGGAAGAGGAAAGUGGAAUUCCUGGUGUAGCGGUGAAAUGCGUAGAUAUCGAGAGGAACACCUGCGGCGAAGGCGGGUUGCUGGGCUGACACUGACGCUGAAGCGCGAAAGCUAGGGGAGCGAACGGG